rnacentral:tRNA from 1 species
UGCGUCGGCCGGGAAUCGAACCCAGGUCGCCCGCGUGGCAGGCGAGCAUUCUACCACUGAACCACCGAUGC